GAUGAACGCUGGCGGCAUGCCUAAUACAUGCAAGUCGAACGAGAGGAAGGAAAGCUUGCUUUUCUGAAUCUAGUGGCGAACGGGUGAUUAACACGUAGGUAACCUGCCCAUGUGCCCGGGAUAACUUCUGGAAACGGAUGCUAAAACCGGAUAGGUAGCAGACAAGCAUUUGACUGCUAAUAACGUGGCUACGGGCCUGAACAUGGAUGGAUCUGCGAUGCAUUAGCUAGUUGGUGAGGUAACGGCCCACCAAGGCCACGAUGCAUAGCCGGCCUGAGAGGGCGGACGGCCACAUUGGGACUGAGACACGGCCCAAACUCCUACGGGAGGCAGCAGGAGGGAAUUUUCGUCAAUGGGGGGAACCCUGAACGAGCAAUGCCGCGUGAGUGAGGAAGGUCUUCGGAUCGUAAAGCUCUGUUGUAAGAGAAAAACGACAUUCAUAGGGAAUUAUGAGUGAGUGAUGGUAUCUUACCAGAAAGUCACGGCUAUCUACGUGCCAGCAGCCGCCGUAA
rnacentral:rRNA from 1 species